UCUUGCCACUGCACUCCAGCCUGGGCAACAGAGUGAGACUCUAUCUCAAAACAAACAAAAAGUCAAACAAGAAAAUCUUAAAAUAUUAGUCAUAUCUUCUCCCACUGUAGAGGUGAGAACCUAGAGGUCUUUAUAGAAAAGAGCAAGGAAACACUCUCAGUAAAAAGGAUUGUAUUAAGUACUUUCUAUAAAUUAUCUAAUAUUUACAGUAACCCUAUGAGAUAGUAAAAUAAUUUCUAUUUUACUAGUAGAAAACUAAAUCUCUGCAAUUUUCCCAUGGUCACCUAGCUAGUGGUAGAACCAAAGUGGUUUAAAUUUCUCAAGUUGAUUUCCCAGAGAAGCUCCUCUUCUAUGCAAGCUUGGAUCUGGAAGGCUAUGAGCUGACUGGUUCUUAAAUUUAGAGAGACAUGAUUGUUGUUAUUCCAUCUUCUGGCAGCAGGUAGUUUAACAUGCUUUUACUCUUAGUAGUGUUUUAACCUAAGUUCUUAAGCAGAAGGAUUUUUAUCCGCAAUUCACUUUCUUUAGAUCUGUGACUGAAAUGGGGCAUGUAGUAAUUUUUAUCUUGAGUCUAAUAUUUCCUAUAAACGUGAAUACCCAUGAAUGGGCUAUAUUGUUGGGGGGGAAAGUAACCACACCUCA